rnacentral:rRNA from 1 species
UACGUAGGGGGCAAGCGUUGUCCGGAAUCAUUGGGCGUAAAGAGCGUGUAGGCGGUUCGGUAAGUCGGCUGUGAAAGUCCAGGGCUCAACCCUCGGAUGCCGGUGGAUACUGUCGGGCUUGAGUACGGAAGAGGCGAGUGGAAUUCCUGGUGUAGCGGUGAAAUGCGCAGAUAUCGGGAGGAACACCAAUGGCGAAGGCGGCUUUGCUGGGACGGUACUGACGCUGAGACGCGAAAGCGUGGGGAGCGAACAGG